CAUGUGGCUCAGUAGGUAGAGCGUCGCCUUGGUAAGGCGGAGGUCGUCGGUUCAAAUCCGAUCAUG
rnacentral:tRNA from 1 species